rnacentral:rRNA from 1 species
UACGUAGGGUGCAAGCGUUGUCCGGAAUUAUUGGGCGUAAAGAGCUCGUAGGCGGUCUGUCGCGUCGGCUGUGAAAACUCGGGGCUCAACCCCCGAGCCUGCAGUCGAUACGGGCAGACUAGAGUGCUGUAGGGGAGACUGGAAUUCCUGGUGUAGCGGUGAAAUGCGCAGAUAUCAGGAGGAACACCGGUGGCGAAGGCGGGUCUCUGGGCCAUUACUGACGCUGAGGAGCGAAAGCGUGGGGAGCGAACAGG